CAGGGGCAGCGGCGGGCCUGCCCUUCCCGCGGGCUCCCCCACGGCUCCCGUCAGCUCCGGCCCCGGCGCGGUGCGGCCGGAGCGCAGCGGUGCCGCCGCUCGGUGCCCGCGCUGCGCCGAGACAGUGAUGCUCCCCCUGCCGAGCGCGGCCCUUUUACGCCCCGCCGCAUCAAGACUAUAUAAUACCUCCAGAGAUGAGUCGUGUGAAAUUCUAGCAUGUCCGCAUGGUCCAAGGUCAUCCUGGGUUCAGAUGUCAGUAAGAAGAUCUACUUGACGAAAUCUCCAAGGCAAGAACAUCCCAAGGAAUCUUGGCUUCUCAUGGCUGCAGAACCUGUGUAUCCUCUACUGAAAACUGUGGCAUUUUUGGGCACUCAUCUGCUGGCUGAUUUUCAACAAGUCCCGUGUAUCCGAUUAAUCUCUGAAGACAGAAGGGCACAGAGGUUUGCACAGCCACAGUUUGCUUUUGGAAACUCUGCAGUAGGUUCUGAUGUCCUCAGCACAUUGGCAACUUUCAUUUUUCCUGAUCAGGAGCUUCAUUUGGGCAUGUAGAGUUGCCCGAGCCACUCCCUUUCCUGUAAGAAAUGUCCUACUGGUAGCAUUGUCUGUCAUUUGUUACUUCCAGAGGCCCUGCCAGUUAUCCUGCCUGGGCAUGUCAUCCCCUCCCCUUGCCAAUGCUCUGUGAAUGUGAACAGCUGCCGCAGCAAGAGGGACACCAUGGGCUGUCAGUGUUUUAACAGCUGGAGAAUGUGCAGGUUUGCUUCUCAUCUUUAAUGUUGCACACAAGACUACCCCUUGCUGGCAGUAGAUGUACGUCUAGGAGGGUGAAACCACAACAUCAAGCAGAACAUGGACACCUUCUUUGCGUCACAUUGUUGGCCAUGGUCUGUGUUGCCCUCUGCUGACUCAGAAGUGCUUCCACAGAACCACCCCUGAAAAGGUUUAGGAUGAGGACAUCAAGUGCAUUCCUCAACUGUAGCAAUCAUGACGGUAAGAAACUUUAAACUGUGCUUAGAGCUCUCUGCCAUCAACUCUGUCUUAUUGCUGUCAUAUAGGAGAGGCAAGGUAGCAGGCCAUGCCAGCAAUUGAGUGGGAAGCUUUUCAUCUUCCUUCCUUCCGGCUGGCAUCAGACCUUUUCUGGGAAGUACCGGGUGCAUGCAAUCUGUUAAAGCCAACUGAAAAACAAGAUCAGACUUGGUGACAGUUUGGACCAUAACUUAUCAUUACUGUGGCCAAGGGGUCAGGGCAUCUGUAUCUCUUUGGGAAGUCUGGUCCCUGACAAAUCCACUGUGCCACUUCUGAAAAACAUAAUCUCGCCUUCCCAAAGCCUAAGAUCUUUGUUUAUUUUGCUUCCAUUUUUAGAAUAACCAAAUUUGACCUAUUUCUGUUUCCCUUUCUCUGCUGAUGCCAGGGUAACUUGGCAGAGAACCAUGGGCAACCACUCUGAGACAGCUAAGACCCAUUUUGCACAAGCCAAUGACCACUGCAUGGUUUGCAGGAAAUUUUGAAAGCCCUGUUAUCGUAUCCAAUUUGCAAAUUUGAUUUAAAGAUAUAAAGGACAUGAAGAUCAUUGGACCCACUUGCCCAGUUCUGAAAAACUCGCUUAUUGUGUGGCUUUGAGGGACUACCAGAGGAACCUCAUGACAGUGAAUCAAACUGACUGUGAAAAUUAUGCCAGACUGGCUCCAAAUCAGGACGCUGAGACUUCCAGCUGGAAAAACAAGCAGAAGAGGACACCCUCAUAUCCUCAUAUUCCCAGUCAAUUCUUUUAUUCAUUUAUUUUCUAUUGAUAAGCACCCCCAGCUGCGUGUAUCUUCUUCUACCAGAUGGAAGCCUGUGUGACUGUUUCAGGCAUUGCCCUGCCCUUGCUGCAGGGACAGAACUCCUGUAUUUUCAUUUCUUAUAAAAAAAAAUGGUGUACUCAAUUUGUAUUUUCCUUUUCGACCAAGAAGGCAUCUGGGAUGCAUUGUUGCAAUCUGCAAUUCUUAUUAAAACCAUUUAUUUUAAUGGAUACUCAGAUGUCAGUCUGUUUAAACACUCAAUGCAUUUUAUUGUUUCCUUUGGAUUUUGAACAUCUAUUAGUUAAAGCUUAUAUGUGCAAGGAAAAUUGUCUUCAGUUGUUAAUGACUGAAGACUGUGGUUGUCUUCAUUAAUGAUGAUUAAGCCCUUACUUCAUGGACUAUUUCAAUAUUUCUAGAACAAAGAAGUGCUCAGUGUAGGAAUUCUUUCUCUUGAACUGACCAGCAAAACAGCAAUCUGCUUCAAGAGGUGAAAUUUUAUCCAGAGCGGCAAAAGAGUACAAUGUUCUGGUCCUAAGAUAUAAGAAUAUAUUUCAUGCUAAAUUAUUUGAGGUUUAUGAUUACUUAAAUCAUAUUCUGUGACUUCUUAUGAGGAAUGAUGCCUUAAGCUUUCAUACUUUUUAGAUUCUGUGCUGCCUAGGUGUGUAGCUCUGAACUUCACAUUGAGUGUUAGUAAGCUCUCUUCACAGAGAAGGUACACAAAACAAUCCUUUUCCAGCUUGAGACCAAGGACAACUGUUGCAAGCUUCAGGCCCAAAAAGCAUAAACUAAUGUGGAAUGAAGAGAGAAGACAAGAAAGAUGGGACUUCACAACCUGAAGCUGUAACUGGACAAUUAACCCCACUAUGCAAAUGGACAAAGACUUAUAAAUGUGUGAAACCUCAUGAUCAGUCAUCCCUUUUGUGACCAUUUUAGGUCCAUCUUGGGUAUGGCCCUGGCUGGGCUCUUGUUCUGUCCAAGGUGCAUCCUUCUAAGGCCUUUCAAUAAAUUCCUACUUUCUUCUCUUAGCUUUAGUCUCUGUUCCAGGCCAGCCUCUCAAGGCAUCAGAAGAACUAAAAUUUUACU